UACGUAGGGGGCAAGCGUUGUCCGGCUUUAUUGGGCGUAAAGAGCGUGUAGGCGGUCAGGUAGGUCCGUUGUGAAAACUCGAGGCUCAACCUCGAGACGCCGAUGGAAACCAUCUGACUAGAGUCCGGAAGAGGAGAGUGGAAUUCCUGGUGUAGCGGUGAAAUGCGCAGAUAUCAGGAAGAACACCCGUGGCUAAGGCGGCUCUCUAGUACGGUACUGACGCUGAGACGCGAAAGCGUGGGGAGCGAACAGG
rnacentral:rRNA from 1 species